CAACCUCAAACUCCUAGGCUAAAGAGAUCCUCCUGCCUCAGCCUCCUGAGUAGCUGCAACCCUCUUUGCUAUUCAAAACAUAUGCAGCAGUGGCAUCACACAAAAACAAGAGGACUCCUCUUUUUCUUUUUAAUAACAGCUGCAGGGAAGAGUCGGGUUGCCUGAGAGGGUUUGGUCAAGUUGCCUGGAUUUGACGGGGGGCCCAUCCUCGGCCGCCUCCUCUCUUAGGAGCAGAGGUCGGAGGAGAAGGAGGGAACACAGAGGGUGGAGGGGGAGUCCCCAGUCUGUCCUUCACCCCAUGUUGCCCCAGUCACCCCAUCCUUUGAGUUCCUGAGCGUCUUUCAGGCCUCUCUCUGUCCCCAGCUCUCUGGGCCUUGCCCCACGGGACAGAAUUCACGCUCACGUUGUUCGAAAGGAGCAGCGAGGAGCUGCGGCAAGCAUCCGCCACCGCACGGUGGCAUCCAGCGGGUAGGUGGGGUGGCCAGGAAGGGGCCUGGCCAGAGCAACUCUCCACCGAGGAAGGAUGUCGGUGGGCUGUGCUCACAGGUCCUCCCUCCUCAGCCUUGUCCUGGGAGGCCACCCGGCAGCCAGUGGGUCCUCCAGGCUGCCACCAGGGAGCCAAGGACCCCUUGCUGCCCCCAGCUGGACCCCCCCCCCAGCACCUCUGCCUCACCCUCCUGCAGCACCAUUCUCUCCCGCUCUGGACCCUGUGUCACUGCUGCUCUGGGGGCCGGAGGCUUGGUCCCCGGCUCCAGCACGGCCCUUUCCUGGGGCUGGCGGGCUUUACUCGUUCUCCGCACCGCACUUUUUCACAGACCUGGGGCCGUGUAAGUCCACUCCGGUGGAGGUGCCACGACCGCCCCACCGGCCUUUGUGAAUUUUGGACCCAGAGUGUGGCAGGGUCUGCUGGGGGGGGGCGCCGCCCCUCUCCAGUGUAGACCCCUCGUAUUUGGGGAGGGCCGUGGGGGCCUGUCUGCAUUCAGAGCCGUCCUCACGGGAGCUCCCAAGCCUUGGCCUCAUUGUUGGUCGUGUUUGCUUCUGAGCGUCUGCCCUGUAUGCAUCACACCUUCGUGAUUAAUGUCUGUCUCUCUCCCUCUCUCUCCUGCGAGGCUGAGAAAUCCCUCCGGGGCAAGGAUCGUGCCUGACUUGUCUUCAUUAGCCCGCACCUAGCACCAGCACCUCCCAAGUGUCUACGGAAUGAAUGAAUGGACACCUUUCUUCCCUGGCCUCUUCACAGCACAGGGGCCCGGUUUGGGCGCUUCACGCUUUGGGAUCUAAGUGCUGGGGUGCGAAUCCAUUGACUGAAUUCUCUCACUCGUCUCUGCAUAACACUCAUGAGGAUGAUGACGGUGACGAUAGCUGGCACCUGCUCCUUCGCCAAGCGUCCCCGCUCUACACGCUUUGCUUUUCGAUAUCCACCGCGAUGGCGAGAGGCAGGAACUGUUGCCCCCAUUUCGCAGAUGUACGAGCUGCUGAUACGCUCAACUGCUUCCCAUUAUGGUGAUUAUCGGCCAUUCGGGCUGGAGCCACUGAGUCCUUUUCUCUCUCCACUUCAAUCACCUGAGCGCGGAUCCCCGAGUACAAAGAACCAGCCUCCGGCUCGCUGGCUCUGGCACCUGCGAUUGCCCGGAAACCUAGCAACGGGGAGCUGGCAGGGCCGGCUGGGGCUCCCGCGAGGUGCGGAGCGGGAAGCGGGUGUCGGGACGGUGAAACAGGAGCAGGGGAGGUGGCCCACGGUGACUUAUCAGGCGCUCGUCUCCCGAUGGC